CAAUAGGACUCAUACAACAGGACUCAUACAACAGGACUCAUACAACAGGACUCAUACAACAGGACUCAUACAACAGGGUUCAUACGGCUCCUGGAAGCCAUGCAGCCCUAAGACCAACAAUAACAACAACAAAGGCUGACUUGAGUUAGCUGGUUAAAAAUUACUGUUUCUAUUAUUACACAAAGAUAAUGCUUAGACGUAACCCUACAAAGAUUGAGUUAAAGCUAGACGACCUCCAAGAGCUAACUAAUAAGCUUAAAGGUGACACUGAAGCUAAGAAAGGCAACGAGAAGCUAGAUGGAACCUCCAACCUGGAAUUGCAGAAAACAAGAAAGGAAAUAAUUGAAGAGAGAAUUGGUUACAAUCCCAGGCCACGUAGACCUAAUUAAGUAUUCUACACUAAAAUGCUGCCGAGAGAAAGCCAGUCAAGUUUGCCAUACCAAAUACUGUUGUACCUUAAUGGCUGGUAUUUGGCAGUCUUCCUGGUUGUGGAGGUGCUAAUAUUUGCCUUCAAGACAUUUGUGUUACCUUAUCCUCCUGGGAACAUUGUGGCAGAAGUGUUCCUUCUUAUCUUCUUUGGUGCCACUGAAUCAGUGAGAAUAUUCAUGGGAAAGAAAGGAAAUCUCACAGAAAGAAUAAUAUCAUUAGUAAUGUCAAUAAUAUUCACAGCCCCCUCAGUUCUUGCCAUGUUGUAUUUGCUACUUUGGCAAACUUAUGUCCUUCGACUAGAAGUUGUAUUGGUAUCUGUUGCAAUUGUAUUUGAGGGAAUUGAACUUUUAUUUGCUUUGUUAGCUGUUGUUACUAUAAGUAAAUCAGGGUGAUGAAUAUUGCUUAUUCCUGCAUCCACAGUCUAUGUUAUUCUGUAUGUCAUUGGGCAACACUGACCAAUUUUGUAACUUGUUACUUUUACUCUAGACAUGAAACUAUAUCCUCUCUUCAUUGGUUAAUUUGUCACAGAUAUUCCUAGUGGUUAUGAAUGACUUAUAGGUUUUUGAUUAAGCCUGUCAGAAAAGACAAUUUAGUUGGAGACUAAUUUUGGUAAUUAAAGGACUGUGAGUAAAAUGCUGUAUUUAUAUAUAUUAAUUUCAGAUAUUUAAAUUUAACAUAGCCUAAUUGAUAAAAGAAGUGUAGAAUUUUGGAGCAAACAUAACUAAGUAAUUAUAAACAUAUUUUUAAGAAACUAAUUUUAUUAGCUCUAGAGUUUGAGUGAUAUUUCAUUGCCUGAGAAAGCUUGGUAUAGUUCUGUAUACCAGAAUCUUUUAAGACAAAACUUUACAUGUUCUUUUGGAAAAUUCUUGUUCAGCCAGGUUGUGAUGGCUAUGUGAGCCCCACAUAGCAAUAACCCGGUUGAUUCAGCUAUCACCAGGGAAGCCUGGCCUGGGGGCCAGGCAGCAAGAACAGAAAAGCACCCAGAAUUGGUCACAGGUAUACCCUCUACCAAAAUGUAUCUCAGUAAAGUCAGUGAAGAGUGAAGUCUUGAAUGUGAA